rnacentral:lncRNA from 1 species
CCUAUGCACUUAUCUCGGCUUCUUCAAAUUUCACCAUCAUACAAGCACCAGACUCAUCGCCAUGCUAACCAAAAAUCAGAAACAAAACAAGACAAGCUUAGUCAGAAACAUAACAAACAAGAAAAGAUUAACAAAAAAUAGAACAAUACAAGUUUAACCAUAACUUGACAAACAAUAUAAAACUUUGAUAAAUUCUGAUAGCAUCAACUCAACAAGUGACAAAAUAACAGUGAACUUGAAUAAGUGUACAAACAGCAACUCAGCAAGUUACAAACAACAAGCAAAUGUCCCUAUCCGAAAACCUAACCAUAUACAUUCAGUGUAACCGCAAGUCAUGAAAUAAAUUCAAACCACA